rnacentral:rRNA from 1 species
GUGGGGAAUAUUGGACAAUGGGGGGAACCCUGAUCCAGCCAUGCCGCGUGUGUGAAGAAGGCCUUUUGGUUGUAAAGCACUUUAAGCGAGGAGGAGGCUACCGAGAUUAAUACUCUUGGAUAGUGGACGUUACUCGCAGAAUAAGCACCGGCUAACUCUGUGCCAGCAGCCGCGGUAAUACAGAGGGUGCAAGCGUUAAUCGGAUUUACUGGGCGUAAAGCGCGCGUAGGUGGCCAAUUAAGUCAAAUGUGAAAUCCCCGAGCUUAACUUGGGAAUUGCAUUCGAUACUGGGUGGCUAGAGUAUGGGAGAGGAUGGUAGAAUUCCAGGUGUAGCGGUGAAAUGCGUAGAGAUCUGGAGGAAUACCGAUGGCGAAGGCAGCCAUCUGGCCUAAUACUGACACUGAGGUGCGAAAGCAUGGGGAGCAAACAGGAUUAGAAACCCUUGUAGUCC